rnacentral:rRNA from 1 species
UCAGCUAUGCCACGGUGAAUACGUUCUCGGGUCUUGUACUCACCGCCCGUCACGUCAAGGGAGUUGGUAGUGCCCGAAGGCUCAUUUUAUAUGGGACGAAGGUAAGACUGAUGACAGGGACGAAGUCGUAACAAGGCAUCCGUAGCGGAAGCUGUGGAUGGAUCACCUCCUUU